rnacentral:lncRNA from 1 species
UAUAUAUAGUAUAUAUCUAGUAUAUAGUACAUAUAUAGUAUAUAUUUUAAAUACAUAUGUGUGGGUUAACUGGGCUCAGCCGGGCAAUUCUGGCUUGGGGGGUCUUUCAGGUAGAUAUUGGCUGGCGCUACCCAUUCAUCGUUGCUCUCCGCUGUGGUCAGUAGCUGCUACUGGCUAUUUGUUGGAAGUCCAGCUGGGGUUGUCUGCCAGAAUGCUCACAUGUGACUUCCUGUGAGGUUUGGGCUUCUCUUAGUGUGGAGGCUGGUUUCAGGAGGAAGCAUUCCACCAAUGAGUGUUCCCUAAGACCCAGGGGAUACUGCUAGGCUCUAAUGAACUAGCCUCAAAAGUCAUACAGCUUUGUUUCUGCCAUAUUUAUUGUCCAUCUCGUUACUAAAGCCAGCUGAGAUUCAAAUAGAGAAGUGGAAUGCACCAAUUGAUGGGAGAAGCAGCAUGUGUGUGUAGGAAGGGGAGCCAUUUUUGGAGAGUAUUUGCUACCUCCACCUAGCUGUUGCCUGCUUAUCGAGUUAGGGGACACUGUCAGGGGACGUGGGGCUCAGGGUUCCGGGAAGGACGCACAUCUAUGCUAUUGGUUCUUGGUUUUAAACCACUUGGUGUUCAGUGGCCGUGUAAUUUGUGUUUUUGACCAUGUUUGUUUGUUUGCUUGUUUGUUUAAAUUAUAAUUUCUUUUCCCUAACCAGCUUACUUUGGGCGGUCUAAAGUGAUUUACCUUUUGCAAAUGACUGGCUUUGGUAUUCCUCCUUAAAUUCAUUUGGACAGUGGAGGUGGCAUAUGAAAAAUGAUAGCCAGCACCUGUCUCCCCUCCCCCGCAACUUAACCUCCUUGCUGCUCUUCAGUUAUAGACAAUUUCGCCAUGUUCCAUGCAGGGUGUGUGUAGGUGGUUGAAGGGGCUGUCACUACACUGGGAAAAUGCUUUGAAUUUGAAAGACAGUUUUGUACUUACUUGAAGGCUUUUAUUUGUGAGCUUGAGCAGUCCCAAGUGUCCUUGUAUACAAGCCCUGCCUUUGCUUAACUCCUAUUAUUAUCUUGCCUUGGAAGGUCAUGCCAACUGCUUAAUUACACAGAGAGUUAUGAAACAGCUAGGGCACCAGAACAUUAUUCAACUGUGGGUUCCUAAAGGAAAAUAAACUCUCCUUACACUGAGGUCAGCUGCCAAUAAACUAGGCAUGUUUGGCUGUUCGUGGCCACAUGCAUAGCUCCCUUGAAUAAAGGGAUUCCAUGGCUGGGCAAAAAUCCUGGAUUCACCUUUCCUAGCAGCACCAGCGGUUACAGCAUAAUAGAACCAUUUUAAUUCGGAGAGAGAUUAAAUCUGAGUACUUCGAGUCAGACUUUUCCUUUCAUUGAAUAUAAACAAUAAAAAUUCUCCAUGAAGGCUUUCCUGCUUCACUAAGAAAUAGGCUAAUACAUUUCAUGGUAUACCCUUAAUCAAACAUCAGGCUCAACAAAAAUGUGCAUUCAUUAAAGACAUGAUUGUUUAGUUAAAGGUUCCCAUAGUCCAUCUGCCCCUCAGCCAUCCACCUACAGGAAGAAAAACUGUGAACUAAGCAAACUCAUGUUCAGAGAGGUGAGGGUUUUUGUUUGAUUCAACCUGUCAGAUUCCUGUUGCGGCCCAACUCUCACCUUGAGAACACACAGACUGGCCUUUCAUGCAUUGCCUUUGCUUUAUCUGUCUUCAGGCAGGAGAAUGUGCUAAUUCUAAAAAAAAAUUUUUGCAAAAUUAGAUGCUCAAAGAGAAACAGAACAGAAACAGACCCUUUGAGAAAGAGCUCCUCUCCUGAAGAAGUGUUUUUCACAAACCACUGAGAUAGCUACAAACUCUUGCUCUUACAGGAAAUAGCUUGCCCUGUUGCAUAGGGUGGGGCCCUCUCUUAUUUCUCUAAACACUUUCGGAGAAAAAAAAUAACCAAAACAGGCUCAAAUGCCAAAGACUACUUUAACCCUCAAAUCCCAGAACCCAAGGUCAACUGAAGGUCACAAGCCAGUGCUUAAGCCAGAAAGUUGGCAAGCUCUCCAGGCAGUGUCUGUUCCUUCUGAAAUCUAUAGCUAAAAUUGAAACCGUGGAAACACUGCUCACUUGUUCUAAGUCAGAGGUACCUGUGAUUUAUUAAGUGGUUUGAGGUGCUAGUCAGGGCAUUAAGUUAAAUAUUGAAAAAGGCUCCUGCUCCCACCCCUGCCCCUCCUUCUUGAAACAAAUUUAGACCAUAUCAAAGUUUUUAUAAAGACAUUCCUAAUAGCAUUGUGCUGUAAAUUCUGUCUGAUCCAACCUUCAAAUAUUUAUGUAAACUGAAAUAUGUCUGGAAAGAAAUCAAAACAAAACAAAUAUGUUCCCCAACCCAUUCCCCAGCUCCCUCCUCCCUCAUUUACAUUCAAGUGUAAAUCUCUCCAACUGGCUCCCAACUGUUAGGGCUGGUUAAUUAGUGAUAAUUGCAGAGACUAUUUCUUUGAAUGCAUUGAAGGGCUUAUGUCUUGCAAGCAAUUUAGCCUGGAGUUUUCAGCACAUGAGAAAUGCAUUGGUAGCAGUUUUUGAUUUUUCUUUUUUAAAAAGAUCAUUACAGAUAAGAGCAGUUGAUUUAGUCUCCCUACAAUCUGCUGUAUUAAUAAUGAGUGCUUUUAAAACAUUUACAGGUUUGUCACCCUGUUUUGUUCCUUAAGCUGUGAACCUAGCCUUUACUGUCAUUAGAGUGAGAUGUUUCUCCUGGGAUCAUUUUGGGUGAAGUGCUUAAACUCAGUUUCAGAUGCAGUUUGCUAAUGAUAAUUUGCGUCACUUGCAAGUUGUAGCAACAUCAGGAUCUCAUGGUCUAUCUUUUGGCUCCUGAUACCAUGUAAUUAGAGAGAGUGGAAAACAGGAAAGAUUUUUAAAGUGACUGUACUCAUAUUACAGUUCUGAAACCCAGGGGAAGAAAAGAGGAACCAUUAUUUGUGUUAAUGAUGGAAUAUUCUAAUACUCUCAAAGGUACUUGGUAACCUUUUGAUAUGGGAAUAAAAAAUGGAAGUUAAUGGGUUUUAACCCUCACAAAAUUGAUUUGUUUAUGUUACAGUUGUUUGGGGUUUUUAUUUACUCAUUCAACAUUUACUUACACUGUGCUGUGUUUAGAGAGAUGAGCGUAAGGAAGAGAGAAUGAGGCACAGAGCCUGCUUCACUCACAUAACAUAUCUUAUUUGAGGAUUGUUGUAAUCCUGUGAGGUAUACAGGGACAUGUUCAUUAUCUCAUUUUUGCAGGUGAGGAAAUUGAAGCUUGGAGAGGUUAAGUGACUUUUCUGGGGACACACAGCUAGUGAGGGUCAAGAUGAGGAAUCAAGGCUCUGACUUCAAGCCUAGUCUUUCUUUGCACAUUGAGGUCUCAAUGGUAGGGAAAUGGGGAAAAUGCAGCUAGGCUUGUGAAAACAAAACAGCAGCCACGGCCACAUGUUGCCAGCUUGUUAGGGACUGUACACACCAGAACUAAAUCUUCUGGGCACUGAGAAGUGCAAAUAAAUAGGGAGAAAACUGGGAUGAUGGCAGCACCUGAAGCCUUCACCCAGAGCAUCUUCCCUUCCUUUGCUACAUCCUUAUCUCACCUUACACCUCAUACCCUGACAUAAGCAGGGAAGGUAGCCCCCUCUGCCCUUGCCAUGCUCCUUCUAAAUUGCAUUGUGCAGAGCUUUGAAGACACUGGAGUCUGCAUGACAGGACACUGCAGAUGAAGUGAAUAGCGUGUGAGACUCUAGUGGAGGAUGAUGGCAAUUGAUUUUCUUGUCUUGAGCAGGAAGCUGGAUUGAAGCAAGAGAUGUGGGAAGUUUUAGGAGUAUUGAGCCAGAGUGGUAGUGCUGAUGGUGACCGCUCUGUGACCAGGAUCGGGCUGGCUUCAUGGACAUAGGACCUGUGCAGACAGCACUUAGAUUUUAUUGAUGCUCUGUCAUCACCACCUUGUAAUUCCUAAUGCUUUCUUAAUAAGGGGCCCAAAAUUUUCAUUUUGUACUGAGCCCUGCAGGUUAUGUAGCCCAUCAUGACCAGUGUUUUACCUCAUUGUUUAUGCUGAUUCAGUAUUUGGGCAUUAGACCAGUAUUAGUAUUAUGGAGUAUUAAACCAGUUUGAGUAUUAAACUACUAUUGAAAAUUAAUGAGAGUUAGACCACUGAUACUGUUCAGACUGGAUGUUGGAUCAACUGGAGAAGGCAAGAAUGAAAGAAGAGCGACCUGUUUUUCUUAUACAUCAGUUGACACAAAGUAACCUUAGCUUGGUGGAAUAACAGGAGGGAAAGUAUAGUAAAAGUGCUCAAUUUCUGGAUUUUUAAAACCUAACAAACUUUACCAGAGUCUCUGUAAAUGGAGAAGAGAAAAGCACUGAAUUGAUUAAUUCGGCUUAUGCUUUUCUUAUGGUGUGUUCAAUAUCUAAUAAAUAGAAACUUCUUAUCCUGAAUCCCUUGAAUUUCUGAGGUAUCAGAGGAGCUGCAUAGACUAGAAUUCAAGAAAUAUUUGGCUUAAGAGUUCUACAGAAUAGACUUCUAAAUCAAGAUACAUGUAGAGAAAAUUUGAAAGAUUUAUUCAGACACUGGGGACACAAGUGGUAGGGUAGAUAUUUAUCUUCAAUUGAUAGACAAUAGACAUUGCUUCAAGUUUGUAAAUUAGGGAAGAGCUGGCUGAUGAUGAUGAUGAUGAAGAAGAAAUAAAUAGCAGCAAUUGCAGCAGCCUUCAUGGGUUCUAUUUAGUGAGUGUUUAUUAUGGGUUCAGUACUUGCCAAAGUACUUUUCAAGUAUAAACUCACCUAAUGCUCACUAUUGUUAUGAGAUAGGACUAAUAUUAUCAUUUUAAUUUACAAGUAAGGAAAUAGGCACCUAGAGUCAAAGAACUUUGCUCAAGGAUGCAGAGCUGUUAUGCUUUGCUGUUGAAUUUGAACUGGCUAUUGGUCUCCAGCCUCUUGACUGAGCUAUUUUGCCUCCCAGUGUUCUUCCGUUGAUGCUCCUCCCAAUAGAUGAAAAUAUAUGUAAAAAACCAUUUUUCGUAGUUGCUGUUGUGGCUCAGCGGUAAAGAACCAGACUAGUAUCCAUGAAGAUGCAAAUUCAAUCCCUGGCCUUGCUCAUUGGGUUAAGGAUCCCGUAUUGCUGUGGCUGUGGCAUGGACGGUUGCAGCUGCAGCUUCAACUCAACCCCUAACCUGAUAUGACC